rnacentral:misc_RNA from 1 species
GAUGAAGAACGCAGCGAAAUGCGAUAAGUAAUGUGAAUUGCAGAAUUCAGUGAAUCAUCGAAUCUUUGAACGCACCUUGCACCCUUUGGCAUUCCGAAGGGUAUGCUCGUUUGAGUGUCAUUGUACUCUCACACUCCCACUCUUUUGGAUUGGGAGCGGUGGACUUGGGUGUUGCUGCUUCACUUUGGCUCGCCUCAAAUGGAGUAGUGCAACUCUCGGUUGGACAUAGUACGGCGUGAUAAGUGUCUUCGCCGGCGCCUCACUAGAGGGUGGCCGAUCGGGAGCUCUGUGCUUCAAACCGUCUUCGGACAAUCUCUGACAACUUGACCUCAAAUCGAGUAGGACUACCCGCUGAACUUAAGCAUAUCAAUAAGCGGAGGA